rnacentral:sRNA from 1 species
GAGGCUGGCCUCUCGAGCUCCUGUGUGAGAAAUCCAUUGGCACGGCCAACAGACCGAUGGGUGCUGGCGAGGCCCUGCGGAGAGUGCUGGAGUGCCUGGCGUCGGGCAUCGUGAUGCCAGCACGCACUGCGGCUUGCUGCCUUCGGCCAGCUCCAUAAAGUCCUGGGCAUGGACCCUCUGCCUUCCAAGAUGCCCAAGAAACCAAAGAAUGAAAACCCAGUGGACUACACCGUUCAGAUCCCACCAAGCACCACCUAUGCCAUUACGCCCAUGAAACGCCCAAUGGAGGAGGACGGGGAGGAGAAGUCGCCCAGCAAAAAGAAGAAGAAGAUUCAGAAGAAAGGUACAGGCCGGGCGCGGUGGCUCACGCCUGUAAUCCCAGCACUUUGGGAGGCCGAGGCGGGAGAAUCGCUUGAGCUCAGGAGUUUUGAGACCACCAGCCUGGGCAACAUGGCGAAACCCCGUCUCUACAAAAAAUACAAAAAUUAGCUGGGUGUGGUGGCGCACCUGUAGUGCCAGCUACUUGGGAGGCUGAGAUGGGAGGAUGGCUUGAGCCUGGGAGGCGGAGGU